AUGGCUCUUGCUCCCCGGUCGUCUCUGCGCUCCCUGUUGCUGCUCAUGUCCCACGGGAAGCCACAGCUGAGCUCUUUCUUCUCCUCCUCCGCCGCCGCCACAGGCGUUCCGCCGGUCGCCCCAGGAGCUGAUACCCCUCCGGCUGCUCCGGCCGUCCAGCUUCCAGUCACCACAGCUCGGCCAGAUCGUUCAUGCCCGAAGCUCCCUGAUGGUCCACGUACAUAUCAGGAAGAGCCUGUUCUUCGGCCACUUCAUGGAGUAACUGACAACGCUUGUCUGAACGCCCCUCAAGAUCCUAGCGCAUACCCAACUCCUGAUCAUGGGUCAUGUCGCACACCUGAACCUGUACCUGUCAAGCCUCCCCGGGCCAUCCCUGAAUUUCCUAUGCACCCUGAAGUUCCUAUACACAAAGUUCGUGAUCCACCACCUAGGACGCGUCGUGGCGCUGUAACCAAUGGUUCAUGUGGCACACCUGAAACUGUACCUGUCAAGCCUCCCCGUGACAUCUCCGAAGGUCCUGGACACGAAAUUCCUAGACACCCUAUUCAUGAUCCACCACCUAGGACGCAUCGUGGCGCUGUAACCAAUGGUUUCUGUGGCACACCUGAACCUGCACCUGUACAUGUACCCGUCAAGCCUCCUAGGGCCAUCCCCGAAUUUCCUAUGCACCCCGAAGUUCCUAUACACAAAGUUCGUGAUCCACCACCUAGGACGCGUCGUGACGCUGUAACCAAUGGUUCAUGUGGCACACCUGAAACUAUACCUGUCAAGCCUCCCCGGGACAUCUCUGAAGGUCCUGGACACGAAAUUCCUAGACACCCUAUUCAUGAUCUACCACCUAGGACGCAUCGUGGCGCUGUAACCAAUGGUUCCUGUGGCACACCUGAACCUGCACCUGUACAUGUACCUGUCAAGCCUCUCAAGGGGAUCUCCGAAGAUGUUAAACACAAAGUUGGUGAUCCACCACGUAGGCCUAAAGCUGUAAUCGACCAGUCUGCACAGUGCUCUCCGACUGCUCCUGCCGUUUAG
rnacentral:rRNA from 1 species